AAGACCUGCUGGAGCUUGUAAGGGGGCCCAACUGGAGGCAGAUGAAGGAGCAUGUGCUCCAGAGCCUGAUCCCACUGCUCCUCCUUGUGCAUGAUGAGCGUCCCAACGUGUCCCAGACCUCAAAGGCUUGCAGCAGGACAGCAAGUCCACACUCUGAUGCCUGACUUCUCAGACCAUCUUCAUCCUGGAGGCCUUCAAGAUCCAGCCUCCAGCCUGCUGCGGCCUAUGGACAUUUGUCCAUAGGAUGACCACAAUGUGCACUGCGGAGAGCCCGGUCAUUGAAGCUGCCCAGCUGCCCUAGCUCUGGGAAAAGCCAGCCUCCCUUCUCUGGGGGCUUUUGGCAUCAGAACCCGCCUGGAGCAAGGUGGAACACUUCGUGCCAGACCAUGACUUCUUCCCCAUUGGCUUCCUGCCCUGUCCAGUCACCAGGUACAGCGCCAAAAAUGUACACGACUGGAAAUGGGAACGGAGGGUAGAACAUAAACCCUACACCAGGUGUGGGAACAUGUCAAAAAGUACAUGUUGAAUAAAGCUAUUGAGCAGUUAA